GCCUUCGGCGGACUGCGUGGUGACGUAGGCGCGGGCGUGCGCGGCAGAAGCCAUGGCUGGUGGAUGAGGCGUGUUUGUGCGGUCGCGGACCGCUGCCGGGCAGCGUCGUCAUCCGAGGCCAUCGAGGGCCCCAGGUGGUACCUGCGCUCUGCUGAGGCCAGGUGAAGGCUUCCAGUGGACGCGGAUCCCUUCAGUCCAACUGCAGAGGCUGAGCACACCAGCCUCCACGCGGCUGCGUCUGGGGACACUUGCCCAUGAGUCUCGAGUUUCUGCAGUCCUCGGAGCGAGGUGCCGGCUGCCCUUUUGCCCAGAUUGCCUUUUCAAGGAUCUUCAAGUAGCAGACAGCCUCGAGAUGUGUGAGGUAGCGCCUCCCUCCAGAGCAGAAAGCAGCAUCUGUGAAACUGGAGUUUGUCUGCUGUCGGAUGGGAGCUAAAUCAGACCCUUACCUCCCCCAGCAGACUCUGCUCUGCGUCCCUGCCCUAGCGCAUAACAGGAAGUGCCUGCCAUCCCCCAGUGUUUCAGAAAGCCCAGGAUGCUAGAACUAGAAGAGACCUGAGAGAGGAUCCCUUUGGUGGCUGUCAGGCUGUCCAUGGAAUCUGCAGUGAACAAGAAUCCUCGCUGUGCGGCUGACCCCGUGGCUGAGUGGUUAAGUUCGUGCUCUCCACUGCAGGCAGCCCAGUGUUUCGUUGGUUCGAAUCCUGGGCGUGAACAUGGCACUGCUCAUCAAACCACGCUGAGGCAGCGUCCCACAU